CCUUGGUGAGCUUACUUGGUUGCUCUGGUUUGAAGAACAGAGGGAUGUUAGCCUUCCAUGGGGAGGCUUCACAGGCUGAGUUCCUCAGAGGCCAGUGGUAAGACCAGAGCAAGGUCCAGGAACUGCGACACCUCAUUCGGAGCAGAAGAGAGGAGAAUAGAUCCCGACAUGCAUCUGCUUAGUGCAGAACUGCCAACGUCCAUGUCUCUCAGUGAAGGUGGUGGUUUCAUCACCAGCAGCAGCAGCUAGUCUUUGCUCCUCCAAAUGGCUCAUGCCAGCCCUGCCUCUGUCCACACAUACCAUCUGUGCUAUCAACACAGACCUUCAGAAGUAGAGAGGAUGGAAAUAGAACACGUACUUUGAUAAACAGAAGCAAUUAGACUUCCUUGGACGAUGCCACAUUCCUUUAAUGCACAUUCGGCUUAAUGCACAAUGGGAAAAUCAGAGCCUAUUGAGCAAUGGUGUUGCCUCUGGUUUAUUGCAGUUCAUUAAUAAACAUUGCAGCUGGAGGCAAUGACUGUAUGACCCUUAAGUUCCUCCCAAUGCUGAGUUUCUAUGGCUUGUAGAAUAUUACAGCUUUAGAGUUUAAAAA
rnacentral:lncRNA from 1 species